AAAUUGAAGAGUUUGAUCAUGGCUCAGAUUGAACGCUGGCGGCAGGCCUAACACAUGCAAGUCGAACGGUAACAGGAAGCAGCUUGCUGCUUCGCUGACGAGUGGCGGACGGGUGAGUAAUGUCUGGGAAACUGCCUGAUGGAGGGGGAUAACUACUGGAAACGGUAGCUAAUACCGCAUAAUGUCGCAAGACCAAAGAGGGGGACCUUCGGGCCUCUUGCCAUCGGAUGUGCCCAGAUGGGAUUAGCUUGUUGGUGGGGUAACGGCUCACCAAGGCGACGAUCCCUAGCUGGUCUGAGAGGAUGACCAGCCACACUGGAACUGAGACA
rnacentral:rRNA from 1 species